ensembl:lncRNA
AUUAUAUGAAUAUAAGACAUGUUCAAUCAAACCAAAUAGGCUUUGCAAAUUAAAUGAAAACAUUAUGAGUCUUUUCUUCAUGCUGCCUAUGUCAUUUUGCCAAUAAUAAAGAUGUUGAAUAAAAUACUAGAUAUAUUCAGUAGCCAUUUAAAAAUUUAAAAUUUCCAAAUGAUUUACCUUUUUAUAAAUAGAUUUCAAUUGCAUAGAGAAUUUCAGUCAACACAAUGCACUAAAAUGACAAGCCUUAUACAUUUUUAUAUGAAGAACUCUCAUUAAUUUUAAUGAUAUUUAAGAUUACUGUGGGAUUGAACUAUAAACAUGUACAAAACAUAAAUUUUCAGAGUUAAUUUCUUUUGGGGGGAGGGCAAAGCAAAACAUACAGAAACAAUUAUUUUGACCUAUUUUGAAACUAAAAUAGAAUCUGUGAGAUUUUUAUCACAUAAAGAAAGCCAUAUGUAGCGAGGUGUAGUAAAUCUAUAUCCAGAAGCAGUCUUGGGCUAAUUAAAAAUACUAAAUUGCAUAAUCUCAAAAUUAGUGUUUGUAACAAAAUAAGCUACUCAACCUUGAAUGCAGCAUUAUGUGUGUGCAGCCAUAAUGAGCUGCUUUCCUAUGAUGCACAGUCCUUGACAUUUGUCCUAAUCCUUAGACCACCCAAAUAUAGCAAUCUGCUAUUUGAAAAAGGCACCCUACAAGUUCCCCUUUUCUCUUCUUAAGGCUAUAUUUUUUAAAGAGCCAUCAGUUAUCAGUAGACUCCACUCAUCAUGUUAAUGGUUUCUAUAAAUACUCUGACAGAUCAUCCUUCUCUAAAUUGUCUCACAAGGAAAGGAUAAGAAAUUUGUACUUAGAUAUUGUGACUAGACCCACAAGACAGCAUUCUGCCUCUGCUGAGUAUAAUGAGAAAGACAUCAAAGGCUUUGCCUAUUGGAUUCAUUCCCUAUUCAAAGAAAGGUAAGUUUAGUCUGAAAAAGAAAAAUAUCCCACCAAGAUACUGUUCCUGUUUAUUUUCUCCUUUGACAGAAUAAUGUUGUAGUCAGGGCACUAGACUUUGAAUUUCAUUUGUUGUGAAACUGCUAGUGAGACACAAGAUAUGCAUUAUAUGAACUCUGAUGCUGACAUUCAGGGUAAGGAAAUUAGACAAAGGAAUUUGAACUUUACUCCAUGGGGGAUAGGGAGUAACCAAAGAAUUUUGAGCAAGAUGGCAUGCUCAGAUCUCUGGAUAGGAAGGAAAAAAGAGGAAAGAAAGAGAGAAAGACCUAUCAGGUCUUUCUUACAUUUAUAAUAAUCCAUAUUGGUAAUGAGGGCAGACAAAGAAGUCUGGUAUGAGAGACAUUACUUAAUUAGUUAAAUGAAUCUAUGAUCUCAUUAAUGUGGUCAUUCCUUCCAGCAAUACAAAGAAAGCAUAAGGCAUAUCCAUACCUGCCCAUCCUGUCCAUUUACAAAGUUCUCUCUAUGGCACUUAAAGCUCCUUAUAAUCUAGUCUCUUCCUUUCCAAAAUCCUUGCAUUUUAUUCCCUUCCAUGAAUUCUAUGAUCUUGUUCCAUUGACUAACUUGCUGCUUUUCCAAUUUGACACUCUCCUCCCAAUCUUUCUGUAGUUGCACUGGUUCUCCCCAGGCCUGAAAUGUUUUCCCUCCUCACUUCUGCCUCUUAGGUUUCCUUAGUUUUCUUCAGAACUUGGCUCAAAUCCUAUCUUCCAGAAGAGUCUUUCCCCAGACGCUAAAGUGCUAAUGCCUUCCCCUCUACAAUUAUCUUUCAUCUAUUCUGUCCACAUCUUAUCUGUCCAUAGCUAUUUGUAUGAACUAUUUUUUGCCUUUCUUUGUAUCCUCAUCACUUAGUAGUAGUGUCCAGCACAUCAUAAACACUUGAAAAAUAUUUAUUGACUUGAUUUGUUGACUUGUAAAU